AGCUCAUGAUUGGGUGUAAAGUGCGUAGGCGGCUUUUUAAGUCAGGGGUGAAAGACGGUGGCUCAACCAUCGCAGUGCCUUUGAUACUGAAGAGCUUGAAUACACCUGAGGUAGGCGGAAUGUGACAAGUAGCGGUGAAAUGCAUAGAUAUGUCACAGAACACCAAUUGCGAAGGCAGCUUACUAAAGUGUAAUUGACGCUGAGGCACGAAAGCGUGGGGAUCAAACAGGAUUAGAUACCCUGGUAGUCCACGCCCUAAACGAUGAAUACUCGAUGUUAGCGAUAUACAGUUAGCGUCUAAGCGAAAGCGUUAAGUAUUCCACCUGGGGAGUACGCCCGCAAGGGUGAAACUUAAAGGAAUUGACGG
rnacentral:rRNA from 1 species